UUGUGUCACUUCUUUCUAUACAGACACAGUAACAAUCUGAUCUCUCUUUCUUUUCCCCACAGGGUCCAUCUAUGCAGUCUGAUCCUGACCUCUCCAUUUUUCUCCCUGCUCUAUGAGUGUCCCUGAGUCAAUGCUACACUAGCCUAUUUACUAGAACUCUAUAAUCUAUUGUGGUAUCAAGUAGGGCAAUCCUCCUAUCUUCCUCCUUUCCUCCAAGAGAGUCUUGGCUAUUAUUGAUGAUUUUGCAUUGUCAUAUACAUUUUCAAGCCAAAUCCAAUCGGUUAGUCCAGUUCCACUAUAAACCCUGUUGGGAUUACAUUGAUUCUAUAGAGCAGUACUGACUGAUUUACACUACUGAGUUUUUCAACCCGUGAGCAAUCUGUGUGUUACUCCAUUUUCUCAUUUUUAUGUCCCUCAAUAAGGUUUUAUAAUUUUUCCUGUAGAAGUUUUGCAUGUCCUUUGGUAAAUUUAUUUGUAGGUAAUUGAGACAUUUUAAAAUUGUUCCCUUUUGGGAAACUAUUAAGGAUCCUGUUGGAAAAACUCAACCUCAUGUUCUAAAUAACGUGAUAUCCAGUGGUAAAUGUCACUAUUUCCGUGGGGUUUCUGACCCAGCCUGAGCAAUCCAGAGUUUUUCUACAAGGCAGGGAUGAGAUUGCUAAACUCCAUCCAUGAAAAACCUGCUUUUAAGCCUACAGGUAAAACAUUCUAUUUGUUUAAUAGGGCAGGGCAAGCUGUACUUCUGAAAAUGCUAAGUUCAGCAGGCUUCUUUUAGGAAUAGUGCCAGAAUUAGCCAAUUCUACUUUGAAAAAAAUCUCAAGUAAAAUAAUAAGAACUCAACAUUCAGCAAAUAUUUAUUAAGCACUUACUCUGGACCAGGUAUUAUUACAAGCAAUGGGGAUAGAGCAGUGAAUGAAGACAAAGCCUGUGACCUUGUGGCAGUUAUCUGGAGAGGCAGAUAACAAGUGAACAAUUUAUUUACUAUGGAAACAGAAGUGAGGAUGAUGGAAACAUGAGGAAAGCUUUUGUCUAAAGCAAGAAUCACAGGCAUCAGCCUAUAGAAACAGGACAAAUGGAGAAAAUCACUGGAGAGAAUGACAGCAAAGAAACCCCUCCAGAGAGAAGAGGUCUCAGUCCAGCCUCACACCAAGUAGAGCCUCAUCAAAACGUUCUGUUCUCAUAGGGAGUUGGGGGCCUGUACCAGAGGCCAUGAAGUCUCUUGGAGUCCAUGCUAUGUGAGUGGUGCACAUCUCCACUGCCCAACCCAUAGAAAACUCACCUAAGUUUUCUCUUUUCUCUUCUAUAGAUAUUUUUGGAAAUGAGUUGGGGACAAGGAAAAAGCUAUCAUUGCACAGACAUCUACCCCAAUUCUGCCUCCUGCUGCACUCUCACUGAGAGACAAUGGUCCAAGAAGCACUCUCCCCUCUCCAUGGCUGGCUAGCUAGGUUCACAUUGGUGCAAAGAGCACUCGACAUUGCCAGAAGUGUGCAUCAUCAUGUCCCCAUGCCAUCUUCCAGUGAGGAAGCCUGAGCAGCUGGGGAGAGGCCCAUAUGGAGAAGAACCAAAGUCCCCAGUCCCCAGCCCCAGACCAGCUGAAUUCCCAGCUAACAUCCAGCACUAACUUGCCAGCCAAGAGAAUGACCUGUAUUGAAAGUGGAUUGUCCAGCCCCAGUUGGAGCCAUCUCAGCAGUUGCCAUGUGGAGCAGAUGCAAGUCAUUCCUGUCAAACUCUGUGCUUAUUUGUGAGCAAAAGAAAUAAUUGUUUUUGUUUUAAUCAACUUAGCUUUCAGGGAGUUUGUUACUGAGCAAUAGAUAACUGAUACAAUGGAAAAAUUCUAGAGGCAUUUUCACUAAAGUCAGAAACAAGACAUGGAUAACCCACUAUCACCACUCCUCUAUAUCAUAGCAGUGAACUUAUCAGGUAAUGUAACUAGGUGAAAGUAACUUUUUAUAUACACAAUAUAUGGCCAACUGACCUUCUCUUUAGAAUUAACAAUAAGCAUUUCUCUAAAUGCUCUUAGAAUUUACAAUAAGCUUUUAUAUCGAUUGUAUACAUUAGCUACACAGUAAGCUAUUAAGUGGCUGCAAAAUAGUUUAUAUAUCUAUUUUCCUAGUUUUAAUAUUUUAUAAAAUUUCAACUAUUAUAAACAUGGCUGUCAUUAACAUCCUUGUGGUUAACUGAAUCACAUGGCAGGGAACAUUUUAAGAUGUUAAAAUAAAAACAUUAAAUUUCCCUAAAUUGAAUUUUUAGUAGCAACAAAAGAGACUGCAGAUUUGAAUUUAUUAUCACUCAUAAUAAUUAUCAUUCUUUGACAAUCUGAUUAGUGAAAAAUUGCAAUGCAGUGUUGUUUAUGUGCAUUUCAGUUAGGUAAAGAGCAAUUGCUAACCUGCUUUGAUUUGAAUAUUCAGGAAGAAGCUUCAAGGUUUAACUUGCCAGAAAGCUUUUUUCCAUGAACUGGAAAGUUAUUCUAGAAGUUGUUAAGGUCCCUUCUGCCAGCAAUAGUCUAUGCAUGCAAUAAUCAAAUAAAAAAGCUACUGCCUGACAUGUUUACCACAAAAACAAAAA